rnacentral:rRNA from 2 species
CCCUUGAAAUACCACCCUGUUGUUAUUGAGGUUCUAACUUGGUCCAGUAAUCCUGGAUGAGGACAGUGUAUGAUGGGUAGUUUGACUGGGGCGGUCUCCUCCCAAAGAGUAACGGAGGAGCACAAAGGUACCCUCGGUACGGUCGGACAUCGUACCAAGAGUGUAAAGGCAAAAGGGUGCUUGACUGCGAGAGUGACGGCUCGAGCAGGAACGAAAGUUGGUCUUAGUGAUCCGGUGGUUCUGAAUGGAAGGGCCAUCGCUCAACGGAUAAAAGGUACUCCGGGGAUAACAGGCUGAUACCGCCCAAGAGUUCAUAUCGACGGCGGUGUUUGGCACCUCGAUGUCGGCUCAUCACAUCCUGGGGCUGAAGCAGGUCCCAAGGGUAUGGCUGUUCGCCAUUUAAAGUGGUACGCGAGCUGGGUUUAGAACGUCGUGAGACAGUUCGGUCCCUAUCUGCCGUGGGCGUAGGAAAAUUGAGAGGAGCUGCUCCUAGUACGAGAGGACCGGAGUGGACGAACCUCUGGUGCACCGGUUGUCACGCCAGUGGCAUGGCCGGGUAGCUAAGUUCGGACGGGAUAACCGCUGAAAGCAUCUAAGCGGGAAGCCUCCCUCAAGAUGAGUUUUCCCAUGAAGCCCGUUGAAGACUACGACGUUGAUAGGCAAGGUGUGGAAGCGCAGUAAUGCGUGAAGCUAACUUGUACUAAUUGGCUGAUUGUCUUGACCAUAUAAUCUGAG